rnacentral:rRNA from 1 species
ACGCUGGCGGCGUGCCUAAUACAUGCAAGUAGAACGCUGAAGCUUGGUGCUUGCACCGAGCGGAUGAGUUGCGAACGGGUGAGUAACGCGUAGGUAACCUGCCUCUUAGCGGGGGAUAACUAUUGGAAACGAUAGCUAAUACCGCAUAAAAGUCGAUAUCGCAUGAUAUUGAUUUGAAAGGUGCAAAUGCAUCACUAAGAGAUGGACCUGCGUUGUAUUAGCUAGUUGGUGAGGUAACGGCUCACCAAGGCGACGAUACAUAGCCGACCUGAGAGGGUGAUCGGCCACACUGGGACUGAGACACGGCCCAGACUCCUACGGGAGGCAGCAGUAGGGAAUCUUCGGCAAUGGGGGCAACCCUGACCGAGCAACGCCGCGUGAGUGAAGAAGGUUUUCGGAUCGUAAAGCUCUGUUGUAAGAGAAGAACGAGUGUGAGAGUGGAAAGUUCACGCUGUGACGGUAUCUUACCAGAAAGGGACGGCUAACUACGUGCCAGCAGCCGCGGUAAUACGUAGGUCCCGAGCGUUAUCCGGAUUUAUUGGGCGUAAAGCGAGCGCAGGCGGUUAGAUAAGUCUGAAGUUAAAGGCUGUGGCUUAACCAUAGUACGCUUUGGAAACUGUUUAACUUGAGUGCAGAAGGGGAGAGUGGAAUUCCAUGUGUAGCGGUGAAAUGCGUAGAUAUAUGGAGGAACACCGGUGGCGAAAGCGGCUCUCUGGUCUGUAACUGACGCUGAGGCUCGAAAGCGUGGGGAGCAAACAGGAUUAGAUACCCUGGUAGUCCACGCCGUAAACGAUGAGUGCUAGGUGUUGGGUCCUUUCCGGGACUCAGUGCCGCAGCUAACGCAUUAAGCACUCCGCCUGGGGAGUACGACCGCAAGGUUGAAACUCAAAGGAAUUGACGGG